AUUAAAUAAGUUUUUGAAAGCCAAUGGUGAUAUCCCCUAUAUAGAACUGGCUUGUUAGCUAGUGCCGGUGGCGAAGAACUUAACUGCCCCGUGACCGGUAAAUCCCUGCGAAUUGCCAAGUGGCGAAGAGAGGCUCUACCUAUGAUUUGGCCUGUGGGGAAAAGUGGCUACAAAUCGGUUUGGCGGGAUGUUGGCCUCUCUGUGACAUUACGG